GUGGAGGAGGGGAGGAAUGGUAACCGAGUCAGUGACUGAGACGGAUGAACACCCAGCUGCCAGGCCGACCCCAGGACAGGUUAGAACACUGUUUAGCUCCUCUUGUCUGUGUGAUAGACCUAAGAACUGUAUUAGUGUCAUACCAGCAUAUUAACCUCUCGUCUGUGCACAGCUUCCAACGUUACCGUCUAGUUAGAUUUUUAUUUAAAAUAUGAAAAACUGCUUUUCCCAAGACGUUUUUUAAAAACAAAGCUACAAUUUUAAUAUUUAACAUAUUUAAUGUUUCAAAGCACACCAGGUUUGGCUUGGGUGGGGAGGGGUGGGG
rnacentral:lncRNA from 1 species